GUCAUCCUCCUCCACCUGCUAUGUUGGAUGUUGGACACAAACCAAGCCCGAGCUUGCUUGUUAUCAAUAAACCCCAGUAUGUUUUACCUCAGAUAUCAGCUCUGUGGUGGUCUUGCUCAGGGGUCUCAUGAUGUGGAAACAACAUUUGGGGGCUUGUCCAGGAUCCUCCGUGACACCCAGACCCUGAUCCGAGGGGUUCCUAACCAGCUGGUUUCCACUUGGCUGAAAGACACAUCCAAGCAUCAUUUGCUGACAAGCUCUGAAGUUGCUGAAAGCUGAUAUGGACCAAUCCAGCCAAUAUAAAUGCUAUCUCUUCAGCUGGUCAAUAAAAUGUUCCCUCCUU